UUUUACUGUAUAGCUGUGAAGUGCUACGUUGUCCUUCUCCCUGCUCAAAGCAAUGGUUUCCUAUAUCCUCUGUCUAGCUCGCUUCUGUAGUAACAUGCUUAGUCUCAAACAU
rnacentral:snoRNA from 1 species